GGAAGCUGCCAGCAUGAUCCU
rnacentral:miRNA from 1 species